rnacentral:rRNA from 1 species
CGAGCGAAGCGGGAAAAGCUCAAAUUUGUAAUCUGGCGCCUUCGGCGUCCGAGUUGUAAUCUCGAGAAGUGUUUUCCGUGAUAGACCGCAUACAAGUCUCUUGGAACAGAGCGUCAUAGUGGUGAGAACCCAGUACACGAUGCGGAUGCCUAUUACUUUGUGAUACACUUUCGAAGAGUCGAGUUGUUUGGGAAUGCAGCUCAAAUUGGGUGGUAAAUUCCAUCUAAAGCUAAAUAUUGGCGAGAGACCGAUAGCGAACAAGUACCGUGAGGGAAAGAUGAAAAGCACUUUGGAAAGAGAGUUAACAGUACGUGAAAUUGUUGGAAGGGAAACACAUGCAGUGAUACUUGCUAUUCGGGGCAACUCGAUUGGCAGGCCCGCAUCAGUUUUUCGGGGCGGAAAAUCAUAGAGAGAAGGUAGCAGUCUCGGCUGUGUUAUAGCUCUUUAUUGGAUUCGCCCUGGGGGACUGAGGAACGCAGCGUGCUUUUUGCAUGAGCUUCGGCUUAUCCACGCUUAGG